rnacentral:tRNA from 1 species
GUAUCAAGUGAUACACAUAAAAACAGAUUCCUAAUCUGAGGGUCGCGCGUUCGAAUCGCGCCGGGAUCACCA